UACGGGGGGGGCAAGCGUUGUUCGGAAUUACUGGGCGUAAAGGGCUCGUAGGCGGCCAACUAAGUCAGACGUGAAAUCCCUCGGCUUAACCGGGGAACUGCGUCUGAUACUGGAUGGCUAGAGGUUGGGAGAGGGAUGCGGAAUUCCAGGUGUAGCGGUGAAAUGCGUAGAUAUCUGGAGGAACACCGGUGGCGAAGGCGGCAUCCUGGACCAAUUCUGACGCUGAGGAGCGAAAGCCAGGGAAGCAAACGGG
rnacentral:rRNA from 1 species